ACACGUCUACAUUAGAUACCCCUGUAGUCCCAGCCGUAAACUAUGCGCGUUAGGUGUAUCGGUGACCACGAGUCACCGAGGUGCCGAAGGGAAACCGUGAAACGUGCCGCCUGGGAAGUACGGUCGCAAGGCUGAAACUUAAAGGAAUUGGCGGGGAGCACCACAACAGGUGGAGCCUGCGGUUUAAUUGGACUCAACGCCGGGAAGCUCACCGGAUAAGACAGCGGAAUGAUUGCCGGGCUGAAGACUCUGCAUGACUAGCUG
rnacentral:rRNA from 1 species